ACGGCAUAUCAACAACACAUAUCGAAUCGUACUUCAAUGAUUUUAUAGACAUAUACUUUGUUAUAUCUAACAUAUAUAUCAGAAUAUAUAUAUAUAUUUUCAACACAUAAGAAUGACAUAUUGUCUGUUAUAACAGAGGUAGUAUUUUAUAGAUAAUUUUAAGAAUAAAUGAGCUUAUUAAGUAUAAGAGAAGAUAAGACAUCAAGAAACAUGGCGUUUAUUAGUUUGAGAAGUAGCUUAAGGAUAGUGUGGACGGUUGCGGCGAUGCUGGUCUUCCUCACGAGGAGUGGUGCUGCACCAGCUUAUGGUGAAACCAACAGGGCAAUGCCUGAUUAUGACGUGAACUUCCAGAUGUACCUGGCCCAAUAUGGCUACCUCAGUCCGUCUGUACGGAACCCUUCCAGCGGUCACAUAAUGGACGAAAGCACGUGGAAAAAAGCCAUCCAAGAGUUCCAGAGCUUCGCCGGAUUAAAUAGUACAGGUGAACUGGACGAGGAAACAGUGAAGCUGAUGUCAUUGCCAAGGUGUGGAGUCAAAGAUAAAGUAGGCUUUGGUGAAAGCCGAGCAAAACGAUAUGCGCUACAGGGCUCAAGGUGGCGUGUAAAGAACCUCACAUACAAGAUCUCCAAGUAUCCGUCCAGACUGAACCACGCGGAGGUCGACGCCGAACUGGCUAAGGCGUUUGCCGUGUGGUCGGAUUUCACAGACCUCACUUUUACUCAGAAGCGAUCUGGACAAGUUCACAUUGAAAUUAGGUUUGAAAAGGGCGAGCACGGCGACGGCGAUCCCUUCGACGGUCCCGGCGGCACCCUCGCACACGCGUACUUCCCCGUUUACGGUGGUGACGCUCACUUUGACGAUGCUGAGAUGUGGUCCAUUAACUCCAGAAGAGGAACUAACCUUUUCCAAGUGGCAGCGCACGAAUUUGGUCAUUCUCUAGGCCUUUCACACAGCGACGUCCGGUCAGCGUUGAUGGCACCCUUCUAUAGAGGCUACGACCCCGCCUUCCAACUAGACCAGGAUGAUAUAAUGGGAAUACAGGCGCUGUACGGUCAUAAGACACAAGUGGAUAUCGGCGGAGGACUGCCAAACCCCACCGUGCCACGGGUCACCACACCACAACCCUCGGCCGAAGAUCAGGAGCUCUGUUCUGACUCUAAAUUCGAUACCAUAUUUAACUCUGCCGACGGUUCUACUUUUGUUUUCAAAGGCGAUAAUUACUGGAAAUUGACUGAGAAUGGCGUAGCGGCGGGCUAUCCCCGACCUAUCUCCCGCUCAUGGCCCGGCCUGCCUGGUAACAUCGAUGCUGCUUUCACAUAUAAGAACGGAAAGACGUACUUCUUCAAGGGCUCCAAAUACUGGCGAUAUAAUGGACAGAAGAUGGAUGGAGACUAUCCCAAGGAAAUUAGUGAAGGUUUCACUGGCAUUCCAGACAAUAUCGAUUCUGCGUUAGUGUGGUCUGGCAAUGGCAAGAUCUACUUCUACAAAGGAUCCAAGUUCUGGAGGUUCGACCCCGCUCAACGUCCCCCCGUCAAGUCGACGUAUCCCAAGCCGUUGUCCAACUGGGCCGGAAUACCCGACAAUAUCGACGCAGCGUUACAGUACACUAAUGGUUACACAUAUUUCUUCAAGGGUGGAUCAUACUGGCGGUUUAAUGAUAGAACUUUCAGUGUGGACACCGACAACCCAGCAUUCCCAAGAUCCACUGGUUACUGGUGGUUGGGUUGUAGUAGUGCGCCGCGUGGUACCGUCGGAGGUAAUGCGCGUCUUUCUGCCCCCUCAGACGAACACCACGACGAUGAUGACGACGUGGGCGAUAUUAUAUUUGAUGCAGGUUUAAAAUCAUCUGCUCCCAGAUCAUUCUUCUGGUUCAGGAAAUAGCCUCGGUGGAGUUCCUGAACAAUUUGUACAUAGAGAAUAUAGUAAAGAACAAAGACUAAAAUAGUAUCAUAGGGGAUCAUAAUACCAGUGAGAUUAUAGACAAUAAGCGGUGAUUUUAGUACCGGCGAGCUUCUCACGCGUUGCCUAUGCGGGCCACGCGCCGGGCGGCAACAGUGCGGCCAGCUCUCGGCUGCCGCUCGCUCUUCUGGUGGCCUCCGUCAGCUCUCUGUUGGUGUUAAGGACACUCCCGCGCGCCUAGCGCCGGUCACCGCGUCUCCUCUGUGAUUGUGUUGUGUGCCUGACCGCGUUCGGUAUAUUGUGUAUAGCGAACGCCAUGUUGUGAUGUAUGAUCUUUUAUACUGUUGCGAGAACGAUAAUUUAAUUCGAAGUCAUAGUUUUUAUACUUAAUAUUAUAAAUAGAUGAUGUAAGUCCGAGUGUGAUAUUGACGUAAGCGACGAUUUUUGUAUUAAAAAUAUUUGAAGAUA